CCACCCCUGGCCAAAACCUUUACAAAAGGAUACCAUUCAGUUGUCACACAUGUCCUUUUAAUUGCCACUUCUGUGACAUGAGUUUGAUAACGGCUUGUGAAAUUUUCUGCAAUCUAAAGUUUCAUAUUGUCUACACUUGUAGUUUCUUUGGAGACACAAUCUCCAUUUGUCUCCUGACAAAUUGGAAAAUGAUGAAGAUAAUGACUUGAUUCACAUAUUAUAUUGACAUUGCUUUUUAGUCUCCAAUAUUUCAGUGAGUCAUGCUUUGGAAAUGACAAUAAUUUUUUAUUACCCAACACUUGAGUUGUUUUGUUUAUUACCCAACCCUUGAGUUGUUUUGUUUUUCAUUUACCCAACCUUUUACUUACUUAAAAUUUUGUUUACCCAACCCUUUUCUCUUC